GAUGAACGCUGGCGGCGUGCCUAAUACAUGCAAGUCGAGCGAACAGACGAGGAGCUUGCUCCUCUGACGUUAGCGGCGGACGGGUGAGUAACACGUGGAUAACCUACCUAUAAGACUGGGAUAACUUCGGGAAACCGGAGCUAAUACCGGAUAAUAUAUUGAACCGCAUGGUUCAAUAGUGAAAGACGGUUUUGCUGUCACUUAUAGAUGGAUCCGCGCCGCAUUAGCUAGUUGGUAAGGUAACGGCUUACCAAGGCGACGAUGCGUAGCCGACCUGAGAGGGUGAUCAGCCACACUGGAACUGAGACACGGUCCAGACUCCUACGGGAGGCAGCAGUAGGGAAUCUUCCGCAAUGGGCGAAAGCCUGACGGAGCAACGCCGCGUGAGUGAUGAAGGUCUUCGGAUCGUAAAACUCUGUUACUAGGGAAGAACAAAUGUGUAAGUAACUAUGCACGUCUUGACGGUACCUAAUCAGAAAGCCACGGCUAACUACGU
rnacentral:rRNA from 1 species